UGGUGUUUUUUUGCAUAACUUCUAUAUAACCUGGCUUUCCCCACCGCCCACCUCAGUUCAGCUCUCUCGGUGUUACUUGAGAUGCUGUCUCCUGUGCUUAAAGUCCUAAAAAUUUCCACCAAAUAAAACAUAACUCUCAACUUUUAGGUUGUGAAUAUUCUUAAGUCCACAGUUAUGGUGACUGCUGAAGUGACCGGAGCAGAUUCUUCUUCGCCUGAAUUCAGCCAGGUUUAUGUAUGUACAGAAUUUACAGGGUAGGCAUGUUUCCACUGGGAAAUACUUCGUGUGUGUGAUACUGUAAAACAAGGUAUAUAAAGCUGCGCCGCAGGAACUCAAAACUGAACGUACUAAAGGAAACCAACCUGAGCCAUACAACUUCCAGUUGACUCUCGGAUACGUCAAAGGAACAUCUCUGAAAGAUCUUGGAGAGGAAUAUUAAACUAAAUUUAUUUGGUAUGUUAAAUUACUUAGGAAGUAUUGUCAAGUAACUGAAGAUGAACCUUAGGUUAUAGUGCAUGGAUAAACGUCAUUAAUAUAUUCCAAAAUUUAUAUGGAAUCCCUACUCUCUGAUAUGUCCUGAUAUAAUGUUAUUAAUCAUAAUUCUAGUUAUUAUCCUAAAAUGUUAUAUCACAAAAAUAUCCAAGUUUCCUGCUAAUUGCAUUGUACUUAAAUCUUUAACCAUAGUAUUUUAAGCUUUGUCCUUUAUAGACAAUAAUUAUUUUAUACUGAUGCUUUUACAAAAUGAAGAUUUUCAAGAAGACUCAUGAAAAUAACUUUUUAAACAAAAAUUUCUGAUAGCUUUAGAUGCCACUGAACUGGGUAACAAGUGACAAAACUAAUGGAAUAUCUGAUUCCUUCAUCCAGAUGAACAGGAAUUAAUUACAUAGGACUGAAUGGUGAAUAGAAUUUAUAACUAUGACUUUUGUCAAUGGUACUAGCUGUAUUACUUGUAUCUUUUUUAUAAUACCGUGUCUAUUUUGUGAGAUUGUCUUUUACAGUACCCAGUGUAUAACCGGGCCUCCACCAAAAUUGAUGAUGGCUAAACAGCUUGAGGAAAUUGAUCAUAUUUAUGACUCUCAUAAAAUAACUGUAACAGUGUGAUUCUAGGUGUGGGAAUAGGCAGCAAGGAAGAACAUUUCCUGGAUGCUGAUAAGACAGAGGGUCCAGAGAACCUUUCAUCAUCAACAGGGCCUAAUCUGGAACUUUGCACCUGGAGUGGCAUGCCAGGAGAAACUUCCGCCUGAUCUGGGAUGAGCCUCCCUGUGCCCAGGGAUAAUAAUUGGUCAUGAAAUGUCUCCCGAUAUUGGUCAAAUUCUGGUUCAAGAGAAGGAUCUAAGAGAAUAUUUCCGGCCAUAUCAGUAAACAAGGAUGUCACAGUCAUCAGCGACUCCAGCCCUGCAACAUGAGCCUGAGAAACUCAGGAAAGACAAGAAGACCUGCCAUCUAGCAGCUGGCCUGCAGCCACUCCCUGUGGUGAGCCCUGGCCCCAGAUAGGAGAGGUACACAUCAAAGGAAUGAUUUCUGUGAGCCCCGAACUUCUUGCAUCUUCCCAUACAGAGCAAAGAGCUAAAUUCCUGAUCUCGAGAUAUCUGGUUUUCUUAAAUUAACAAACAUCUUGUUCUGACUACUUGCCCUUUGUUGAAAAAUUCUAUAUAAUAUAGCUCCCCCUCAUCGCCUCCUUGGAGCAGUUCUCUCAGGGUUACUUUAGAUGCUGUCUCCUGGGCUUGAAAUCCUAAAAAUUCCCGCCAAAUAAAACAUAACUCUCAACUUUAAGGUUGUGAAUAUUUUUUUUAAGUCCACACUGUAGUUUAGUUUAAUAAUUUUUCUUAAACCUACUUUUUUGAAUUUUUAAAGUAAAUCUCCUGGUGUUCUACGCUGUGGAAACCUGACCCUUCCCUUCCUCACCUGAACAAACAUCCCCAGAACAUCCUUUUAUCCCUCACAGCAGGGACACUGGAACGUAAAAGUUUCCACCCAUUUAAAGGCUUAGAUGUUCAUUUCUUAGUGACUGAAUUAUUAACAGAGUACAAGGCACAUUUUCAGGGCUUUAGAUGCCUUUCAUCAGAGCUCACAACAAGCCCAUUUAUGAAGAGGAACCACAGGCAAGGAGAGGUUAAGAAACCUUCCCCCAGACCCACACGCACACCUACCUUUGAUUGGCCACCUCUGUAAUGAAAACCUAGGAGCAGGAAAGUCAGCCAUGCCAGCUCAGCACCCAGGGUCGGUCUGAGUAAUCAGAAGCCCUUUAGGAUUUGGCAGCUAACUUGGGGAAACUCUUGACUCUAAAACAUAACACCAUAAAGAUGAACACUGGACAGUCAUUUCAUUUGAACUUGAAAAAUUUUGUUAUUUACCUUGAAGUGGGUUUCUUUUUUGAUGGUGGAGGGAGGGGAGAUUUUCGCUUGUAGUCAUCACUAGACGUUUACUUAGGUCCCGCGGGUGGUGGUUUAUGCAUUCUUGUGUGAGCCACAGCCAAGGACAUUCAGCCCUUUGUUGAAAAUGAUACUCCAGGGAAGUGGCUUUUCCUCACUAUAUACACAUACAUUAAUAGUAAUGUAUUCACUGUGCUGCCACAAAGCAAGAAUUCCCAUGUUCAUAUCUUACCUACAGCAGUGAGGCUGCAGGGAAAACUGUAUACACAGAUGUUGCUGAAAUUUUCGGAAGGGUUCAGGGCCUCACAAAGGUCAAGUGGAAGGUUUUCACCAUAGUGAUGGCUGAUGGGUUUUUAAAGAGAAGAGAGGCAAUAAACAUUCAUUCCCUCAUUCGCUCUGUCCCCUAAACUCAAAGAACCUCACAGAGGCCAAAGAGAGUUUGAAAUUGCUAUCUUCAUAACAGCAUUGUUUACAAGUAGCAAGGACACGAAACAACCUAAAUGUCCAUCAAGAGAGGAAUGGAGAAAGAUGUGGUGCGCACAAGGGAAGAUGACGCAGCCGUGACAAGGGACAAAUGCCAUUUGCAGCAACGUGGAUGAACUGAAAGACAGAUACAUACUAUCACUUACAUGUGGAGUCUUUUUUUUUAAGGGAUAUACA